rnacentral:rRNA from 1 species
AUUGAACGCUGGCGGCAUGCCUUACACAUGCAAGUCGAACGGCAGCACGGGAGCAAUCCUGGUGGCGAGUGGCGAACGGGUGAGUAAUAUAUCGGAACGUGCCCGGUCGUGGGGGAUAACGUAGCGAAAGCUACGCUAAUACCGCAUACGAUCUACGGAUGAAAGCGGGGGAUCGCAAGACCUCGCGCGAUUGGAGCGGCCGAUAUCAGAUUAGGUAGUUGGUGAGGUAAAGGCUCACCAAGCCGACGAUCUGUAGCUGGUCUGAGAGGACGACCAGCCACACUGGGACUGAGACACGGCCCAGACUCCUACGGGAGGCAGCAGUGGGGAAUUUUGGACAAUGGGCGCAAGCCUGAUCCAGCAAUGCCGCGUGCAGGAUGAAGGCCUCGGUUGUAACUAGCUUUGUACGGUAACGAAACGGUAGAGCUCUAAUACAGUUUGUCUAAUGACGGUACCGUAACGAAUAAG